GCGCCGCCUCCUGCUCCUCCCGCCGCUGCUUCCGCCCUGAGUCACUGCCUGUGCAGCUCCGGCCGCCUGGCUCCCCAUACUAGCUGCCGAUAUUUGGAGUUCUUACAACAUGGCAGACAUUGACAACAAAGAACAGUCUGAACUUGAUCAAGAUUUGGAUGAUGUUGAAGAAGUAGAAGAAGAAGAAACUGGUGAAGAAACAAAAAUCAAAGCACAUCAGCUAACUGUUCAGGUGAUGCAAAAUCCUCAGAUUCUUGCAGCCCUUCAAGAAAGACUUGAUGGUCUGGUAGAAACAACAGGAUACACUGAAAGCCUGCCUAGGGUAGUUAAAAGAUGAGUGAAGGCUCUCAAAAACCUGCAAGUUAAAUGUGCACAGAUAGAAGCCAAAUUCUAUAAGGAAGUUCACGAUCUUGAAAGGAAGUAUGCUGUUCUCUAUCAGCCUCUGUUUGAUAAGCGAUUUGAGAUCAUUAAUGCAAUUUAUGAACCUACGGAAGAAGAAGGUGAAUGGAAACCAGAUGAAGAAGAUGAGAUUUCGGAGGAAUUGAAAGAAAAGGCCAAGAUUGAAGAUGAGAAAAAGGAUGAAGAAAAAGAAGACCCCAAAGGAAUCCCUGAAUUUUGGUUAACUGUUUUUAAGAAUGUUGACUUGCUCAGUGAUAUGGUUCAGGAACACAAUGAACCUAUUCUGAAGCACUUGAAAGAUAUUAAAGUGAAGUUCUCAGAUGCUGGCCAGCCUAUGAGUUUUGCCUUAGAAUUUCACUUUGAACCCAAUGAGUAUUUUACAAAUGAAGUGCUGACAAAGACAUACAGGAUGAGGUCAGAACCAGAUGAUUCUGAUCCCUUUGCUUUUGAUGGACCAGAAAUUAUGGGUUGUACAGGGUGCCAGAUAGAUUGGAAAAAAGGAAAGCAUGUCACUUUGAAAACCACUAAGCAGCAGCAGAAACACAAGGGACGCAGGACAGUUCGUACUGUGACUAAAACAGUUUCCAAUUACUCUUUCUUUUUUUGCCCCUCCUGAAGUUCCCAAGAGUGGAGAUCUGGAUGCUGCUGCUGAAGAUAUCCGUGCUGCAGACUUCGAAAUUGGUCACUUUUUAUGUGAGCGUACAAUCCCAAGAUCAGUGUUAUACUUUACUGGAGAAGCUACUGAAGAUGAUGAUGAUGAUGAUGAUGAUGAUGAUGAUGAAGGUGAAGCAGCAGAUGAGGUAAUGUUUACCAAAUGAGCAAAUAUGUUUAACACAUUGAGAAGCAAACUGAAUGACUUAUGUAUUCCUUUGCUAUAAUCAUUCUGUGAUUUGGGAUAAAAAACAUUUUGGAAAAUAUGAUUUUAGAAUUCUACAGCCAAACAAUGUAUGUAUAAGGUUUCAAUAAAUUGCAAAACUAAAAAAAAAAAAAAAAACUGGCUGGAGACAAGGAACACCACUGAGUAUAAUGACACUGACUUGAGCUAUGGAGUGUGGAGGUGGAGACAUGGCCUGGAGCAGAGCUGUCCACCAUAACUCUGUGUGAAAAUGGCAAUCCUCUGUGGCCACUGUUCAUGUGGCUGUCACAUGUGGCAGAUAAGUGCUUGAAGUGAAUAUGGCUAGGGUACCUAAUGAACCGUUUUCAAGUAUUCUAAGUAGCUUUAGAUAGCUAGUGGCUACUGAUUAGAAUUUAGUCAUGACACCAGAAGAGAACACAGGAGUAACUAUAGACAGAAAUGGCUGAGGACUAUGCAUAGAGCCUUCACCUCCUGGUGCUUUGUGAAAGAUCUAGCUGAGAAGACCUUGAAGGAGAGGCUAGGGAGGGAAAACAAGUGUGGGAUUAGGAAAGCCAAGUGAAGAGGCGCUUUAAAGAGGGAGCGAGUGACAGCACCAACCAAUUUUUAAGAUGGAGACUGAGAAUUAAUCUUUGGCUUUACACCAUUACCUACAACUAAAGAUACCACACUCUCUGCCAGUUUUUGUAUUUUUCUUGCCUAUUACACAGAUCAGGAAUGCCAGUAUAAUACUGAGUAGAAAUGGUGAGAAUUCUGUUGCCCCGAAGUAGGAUGUUACCAUGGUUUCUGUGUAAACACACCGUCAGUGUUAAAGACAUGCUUUUCUAGUCAGUUUGGUGUGACAGAUGAAGUUUCAUCAUAUGCAUCUACUGAGGUGAUUUUGUCAUUUUCCAGCUUAAUUUGGUUAAUGUGGUAAGUUAAUUACAUCAAUUUGCCCCCACUGACACACAUUUAAAAAUCCUCAUAGAAAUCACCAAGAACAUUAGCAUCUAACCUAGGAAGCUACAGGAGCCCCAAAGCCUGCUCAGCUGACGAGAUGGGGCUCAGGGCCCUGCAGUGAUCCUGCUGGCCUGCCAGCCACUGAACCACUUCAGGCAGCAAAGGAGUGGGUAUGAGUGCGAUCCUGGAUUCUGCAUCAUCUCAAUCACACCUGUUUAGUUUCAAUUAAUAAUUUACACCAAUGGUACUGGGAAGACUAAAGGAAUGUGCAGUGAUUCUGAGGAAGCCAUGGACCUACCCAGGUAAGAGGUCUUAGGGCUGGGAGUGGGGGAGGGAAAUCCCUUUCGUCCAGUACUGGGCUGGCCAAGAACCACAAACCUAGCCAAACAAGCCAUGGGGCCAAAACGCUGGGCCUGCUCUCUCUGCCUCUAAACUACAGAUGGGUUCCUGCUGUCUCAAGUGGAGAGAGAGGCAGAGCUUGUGUUUGGAACUCCUUAGUGAACUAACAGCAUGACAGCUGUUUCCAAUCCCUUGGCUAAGGGAUGUGAAAAAGAUGAGGCGAGGGAGCUCUGGAGCAGGGAGACACGAGGAUGACAGCAUUGCCAGCCCUUGUGUGGUCACUGGCUAGUAAGCCACUGUUCAGCCCCAUGACAUGACUUGUUUCCCAUCACUGGGCAGGAGUAGUCAGAGGUCUAGAAUGAAAUGACUCAAACCCUCAAUUUGUGAAGCUGAGUUUUCAGGCUGCCUCAGAUUUUUAGUUACACCAACUAAUAGAUCACAGUGAGGCUCUACCAGGAUCCACCUUCUUACUUAUUGGCAGAGUGAAUGGUCUAAAAUGGAGACAAGGAGCCUGGACUGCUUUGGGUUCAUGGAAGCCACAUGGGUAGAGAGAGGAAGCCAAAGGAGUGGUCCAAGGCCUUCAUGGCUCUAAGAUUGCUAUCUGUGAAUUGUGCAUUGGUUUACUGAAAAGGAAUCUAUACUUCAGCUGAGACAUUCUCAAUUCUAGUGUGAGUUUUGUUUUUCUCAGUACAUUAUAAAGGAGACAAAAAUCCUGUGAAGGAAAGCAAGGGCACUAGAGUGUCCUUAAGACCAGUUCUGCCUCAUAUUAACUGGAAGACCAUGCCAUGUAGGUCAUGGAAGGGCUCGGUGUCCCUACCUGCAGGGUGGACAGGAUGGUCUAGAACAUUUCACCCUGAGAUUCUGUGUGGUCACUAAAAUGCUUGAUAUUUGAGGUUAUUAAAAAAAAAAUAGGUACACUCUUCCCACCCCCAACCCAGACUGUACUACCACUCAAUGAUACAAUGCCUCCU